CAAGGCGACGAUCCGUAGCUGGUCUGAGAGGACGACCAGCCACACUGGGACUGAGACACGGCCCAGACUCCUACGGGAGGCAGCAGUGGGGAAUAUUGGACAAUGGGGGCAACCCUGAUCCAGCGACGCCGCGUGUGUGAAGAAGGCCUGCGGGUUGUAAAGCACUUUUAGUGGGGAUGAAAAGCACAUUGCUAAUACCAGUGUGUCCUGACCUAACCCAAAGAAAAAGCACCGGCUAACUCUGUGCCAGCAGCCGCGGUAAUACAGAGGGUGCGAGCGUUAAUCGGAAUUACUGGGCGUAAAGCGUGCGUAGACGGCUAUCUAAGUCGGGUGUGAAAGCCCCGGGCUCAACCUGGGAAUUGCAUUCGAGACUGAAUAGCUAGGGUGCGGUAGAGGGAAGCGGAAUUUCCGGUGUAGCGGUGAAAUGCGUAGAUAUCGGAAGGAACAUCAGUGGCGAAAGCGGCUUCCUGGACCAGCACCGACGUUCAGGCACG
rnacentral:rRNA from 1 species